UCUUCUUCGUCUUUGUCUUCUUCUUGUAUUUUAUUUCUGGAAGAUACUCAUAUCCCCCCCCACUCCGCUGUGACACUAAUGGUACCUGUCAAGUUUAAAGUGAAGAGGUUGAAUCGUACAAUACAACCCGUCACAUUACAACUUGAAAACAAGAUGUAUGAUGAU
rnacentral:ribozyme from 1 species